rnacentral:rRNA from 1 species
GGCCCUGAGUAGAGUGGCAAACGGGUGAGUAACACGUGGGUGACCUGCCUUCGAGCGGGGGAUAACGUUCCGAAAGGAGCGCUAAUACCGCAUAACAUCCCGCCUUUGAAGAGGUGGUGAUCAAAGCCGGGGACCAUUCGGCCCGGCACUCGGAGAGGGGCCCGCGCCCGAUUAGCUAGUUGGUGAGGUAACGGCUCACCAAGGCUUCGAUCGGUAGCCGGCCUGAGAGGGCGGACGGCCACACUGGGACUGAGACACGGCCCAGACUCCUACGGGAGGCAGCAGUGGGGAAUUGUUCGCAAUGGGCGCAAGCCUGACGACGCAACGCCGCGUGGAGGAUGAAGAUCUUCGGGUCGUAAACUCCUGUCGAGCGGGAAGAAUACCCCUGGCGUGAAUAGCGCCAGAGGUUGACGGUACCGCGAGAGGAAGCCCCGGCUAACUCCGUGCCAGCAGCCGCGGUAAUACGGGGGGGGCAAGCGUUGUUCGGAAUUACUGGGUGUAAAGGGCUCGUAGGCGGCCAACUAAGUCUGACGUGAAAUCCCCCGGCUUAACUGGGGAACUGCGUCAGGUACUGAUUGGCUUGAGUUCGGGAGAGGGAC